GGCUCAGAACGAACGCUGGCGGCGUGCCUAACACAUGCAAGUCGAACGCGAAAGGGGGCAACCCCCGGUAGCGUGGCAGACGGGUGAGUAACGCGUGGGCAACCUGCCCGGAGGUGGGGGAUAACCCUUCGAAAGGAGGGCUAAUACCGCAUGACAUCCCGGGGUCCUCGGACCCUGGGCUCAAAGCUGGCCUCUGUUUACAAGCCAGCGCCACCGGAUGGGCCCGCGUCCCAUUAGCUAGUUGGUGAGGUAACGGCCCACCAAGGCUACGAUGGGUAGCCGGCCUGAGAGGGCGAUCGGCCACACUGGAACUGAGACACGGUCCAGACUCCUACGGGAGGCAGCAGUGAGGAAUCUUGCGCAAUGGGCGAAAGCCUGACGCAGCGACGCCGCGUGGAGGAUGAAGGCCUUCGGGUCGUAAACUCCUGUCGAGCGGGACGAAUGCCGGGAGGGUUAACAGCCUUUCCGGUUGACGGUACCGCUGGAGGAAGCCCCGGCUAACUCCGUGCCAGCAGCCGCGGUAAUACGGAGGGGGCCAGCGUUGUUCGGAAUUAUUGGGCGUAAAGGGCGCGUAGGCGGCUGCUCAAGUCGGACGUGAAAUCCCUCGGCUCAACCGGGGAACUGCGUCCGAUACUGUGCGGCUUGAGUCCCGGAGAGGGUAGUGGAAUUCCCAGUGUAGCGGUGAAAUGCGUAGAUACUGGGAGGAACACCGGUGGCGAAGGCGGCUACCUGGACGGGUACUGACGCUGAUGCGCGAAAGCCAGGGGAGCAAACAGGAUUAGAUACCCUGGUAGUCCUGGCUGUAAACGAUGGGCACUUGGUGUUGCGGGUAUCGACCCCUGCAGUGCCGAAGCUAACGCAUUAAGUGCCCCGCCUGGGGAGUACGGUCGCCAGGCUGAA
rnacentral:rRNA from 1 species